rnacentral:rRNA from 1 species
UACGUAGGUGGCAAGCGUUGUCCGGAAUUAUUGGGCGUAAAGCGCGCGCAGGCGGUCCUUUAAGUCUGAUGUGAAAGCCCACGGCUCAACCGUGGAGGGUCAUUGGAAACUGGGGGACUUGAGUGCAGGAGAGAAGAGUGGAAUUCCACGUGUAGCGGUGAAAUGCGUAGAGAUGUGGAGGAACACCAGUGGCGAAGGCGACUCACUGGACCGGAACUGACGCUGAGGCGCGAAAGCGUGGGGAGCAAACAGG